GUAGGGUGCAAGCGUUAAUCGGAAUUACUGGGCGUAAAGCGUGCGCAGGCGGUUCUGUAAGACAGAUGUGAAAUCCCCGGGCUCAACCUGGGAAUUGCAUUUGUGACUGCAGGACUAGAGUUCAUCAGAGGGGGGUGGAAUUCCAAGUGUAGCAGUGAAAUGCGUAGAUAUUUGGAAGAACACCAGUGGCGAAGGCGGCUUACUGGACGAUAACUGACGCUGAGGCUCGAAAGCGUGGGGAGCAAACAGGAUUAGAUACCCUGGUAGUCCACGCCCUAAACGAUGUCUACUGGUUGUUGGGGUUUAUUAACCUUGGUAACGAAGCUAACGCGUGAAGUAGACCGCCUGGGGAGU
rnacentral:rRNA from 1 species